ensembl:snRNA U1 U1 spliceosomal RNA
AUACUUGCCUAGUAGAAGAGACACCACGAUGAAGAAGGCGUUUUCCCAGGGUGAGGCUCAUUCAUUGUACUCCAGAUAUGCUGAUUCCUGUGAUUUCAUCAAAUGCAGGAAACUCAAUUUUGUGACUUGUGGUAGUGGGAGACUGUCUUUACGCUCUCUCCUG